CAAGGCGGCGACAUAACCCAGCAAGGCCCCUGCUGGGCGGGCCUUGUUCUCACUGAGCUGCCACUUGGUCUGGACUAGUUGCUUUGGGCCGGGUGGUUGCAGCCUGCUGACAGGAUUUCUUCUUGGGAGCUUCCUUCCCAGGAUCUAGAGAGAGGCAGAAGACAGGGUUCACUGGGCUUUCAAGGCUGAGGCACUAGGUUCCUGGGCUGGUGGGGUGGCCACAGAGACAGAAGGUCCUGGAGCUCUGCUUUUGCUCCCCCUGUGUCUGUGCCAUGGGUCAGUCCCCUUCCUCCUCCUGCACUGAGCCAACCCCCUGCCAGGAAAAAAAGCGAGUUGAGUACCUGUGCUGGGCUGCUGGGCUGUGAGGAACCUACUGGAGUUCUCAGACUUCCGUGGACAAAAACCAGGACGGAGCCCUAUUCCUCGCCCCCUGCAGGGGAAGGAGAGAUCUGCUCAGCCCUGCAUCAUGGUGAGUCAGGACCCAGAGAACUCCAGAAGCCCUGCUAACCAGAGGAGGAGGAGGAGAAAACACCUAAGAGACGCCGGGAUGGGACAGACAGACAGAAGACAUUGGCGGAAGAGGAGCGGCAUCGCCACAAAGGACAACACACCCCUGUCCUCUCCUGCCACUCUCAGCAGUCCGGAUGGCAGAAGAGGUUGGAGUCAAGCUGCAGAGGACAGAGGACACCCUGCAGACACUUGCAGUUUCUGCCUGAAAAACAAAGACCUGGAGAGGUUUAAUGGUUUGUAAGUUUCUCUGUGGUGUAAACAACAGGUUUCUAGGGGCCUCCCUCCUCCCCCAGUCUUUAUUGAACCAGAGUUCAUGAAAAUGAAACACGCUGACAAAAGUAAA